GAAAUACUUUUAGAUUUUAGUGGCGCACGGGUGAGUAACACGUAAGCAACCUGCCUUUAAGACGAGAAUAACAAUUGGAAACAGUUGCUAAGGCUGGAUAGGAAAUAAAAAGGCAUCUUUUUAUUUUUAAAAGACCUUCUUCGGAGGGUAUGCUUAAAGAGGGGCUUGCGUCACAUUAGUUAGUUGGUAGGGUAAUGGCCUACCAAGACGAUGAUGUGUAGCUGGACUGAGAGGUUGAACAGCCACAUUGGGACUGAGACACGGCCCAAACUCCUACGGGAGGCAGCAGUAGGGAAUUUUCGGCAAUGGAGGAAACUCUGACCGAGCAACGCCGCGUGAACGACGAAGUACUUCGGUAUGUAAAGUUCUUUUAUUGAAGAAGAAACAAUAGUGGAAAAACUAUCUUGACGUUAUUCAAUGAAUAAGCCCCGGCUAACUAUGUGCCAGCAGCCGCGGUAAUACAUAGGGGGCGAGCGUUAUCCGGAAUUAUUGGGCGUAAAGGGUGCGUAGGCGGUUUAAUAAGUCUCUAGUUUAAUUUCAACGCUUAACGUUGUCCUGCUAGAGAAACUGUUUGACUAGAGUGAGAUAGAGGUAAGCGGAAUUCCAUGUGUAGCGGUAAAAUGUGUAAAUAUAUGGAGGAACACCAGAGGCGUAGGCGGCUUACUGGGUCUUUACUGACGCUGAUGCACGAAAGCGUGGGGAGCAAACAGGAUUAGAUACCCUGGUAGUCCACGCCGUAAACUAUGAGUACUAAGUGUCGGGGUUAAACUCGGUACUGAAGUUAACACAUUAAGUACUCCGCCUGAGUAGUACGUACGCAAGUAUGAAACUUAAAGGAAUUGACGGGAUCCCGCACAAGCGGUGGAUCAUGUUGUUUAAUUCGAAGAUACACGAAAAACCUUACCAGGUCUUGACAUACUCUGCAAAACUAUAGAAAUAUAGUGGAGGUUAUCAGGGAUACAGGUGGUGCAUGGUUGUCGUCAGCUCGUGUCGUGAGAUGUUAGGUUAAGUUCUAAAACGAGCGCAACCCCUGUCGUUAAUUGCCAGCACGUUAUGGUGGGGACUUUAGCGAGACUGCCAAUGAAAAAUUGGAGGAAGGUGGGGAUUACGUCAAAUCAUCAUGCCCCUUAUGAUCUGGGCUACAAACGUGAUACAAUGGCUAUUACAAAGAGUAGCUUAAACGCGAGUUUUUGGCAAAUCUCAAAAAAAUAGUCUUAGUUCGGAUUGAAGUCUGCAACUCGACUUCAUGAAGUUGGAAUCGCUAGUAAUCGCGAAUCAGCAUGUCGCGGUGAAUACGUUCUCGGGGUUUGUACACACCGCCCGUCAAACCACGAAA
rnacentral:rRNA from 1 species